UUUCGAUUAUAGGUCAAUUUUGACCCGAGCCCGUCAUCCCCAACCUCUCGACCUUAUCCUCCCACCGCCUCGCGACGCCCACCCGGCCUUCCACGACGCCGCCCACCUCGCCCGACCUUCCACCGCGCCGCCCCACCCGGCCUCCCACCGCGCCCCCCGCCCCGCCCAGCCUCCCACCGUGCCGCGCCGCCCCGCCCGGCCUCCCACCGCGCCACGCCGCCCCGCCCGACCUCCCAACGCACCGCGCCACCCCCGUUGGCGUCACCCCUGGACUCCGGCAGCGCUCCAGACCCUGCCGCUUGCUCCGUUGGCGAUGCCCGGUACAACCUGGACUUCGCCGCCACUCCUCCCCUGCACUCCCUUCCCCAUACUCCGUGGGUGACGCCCGGUACUGCUCUUCUCCCUACGCGCUGGUGCGUUGGUGUCGCCCCAAACAUGGGAGCCAUCCCAAGGCCGUAAGAGUCUCGAGCUUCCUGCAGUUCGAGGGCGAACACCGCAGGAUCUCCAGCAGGAAAGUGGUCGCACCAAGUUGAACUUGCUGCAGCACCAUCUUGACCAAGUCAAACUUGCAGCAGCCAGGGUACCACAGUCACUGGCAGCCGUCCACGAUGAGCUCUAACCGCAGUCCAAGUCGAACUACUACCACCAUCUUCACCAAGCGCUGCACUCAUUGUGCACCAACACAGUGCUUUCCAUGUCGAAAAACUAUGGAAAAUGGGGCAAAUAAUAUACCGUUGCCUCGUGUCUCAAAUGAUCUUAGAGAAGAGAUUUAGCCAGUCAGCAGCAUUUGUUGCCUUCACUCUGAUGGAAUAUGGUGGUGUUCCUCGGUACUCCACUCCAGAAUCUCUUUUGAAAAAAGCUCUCCAUGUCAUAGGUUGUGGCUACGAGGACAAGUCUGAAGGGGAACGAAGGUAGCAUAACAAUCAUUCCAGUAAUUUUCAUUCAUAUUUUUCUAUUACACAAAAUUUGUGCAAACAUAGAAGUGAGGUGUCAGUAUGCAAAAUUGUGGAUCACUUCAUUCCAGUAAAAGCAUAAUGUUUUUUAUAGCUUGAUUCCAGUAAAUGGGGAACUGAGGUAACAUAGAAAUCAUUCCAGUAAAAGCAGGCAUCUGUGUAUUUCAUCUUUAAGGGUCCACGACGGGAGUCUAGUUGUUUAUUCUUAUGCUUGGAGAACUUGUUCAGUUUGCAUGGGAGAACUUAUUCUAUUCCUGUUGCUCGCAAGCUGUUUGUUGAUAUGCCUAGAAGAACUGAAAUAAUCUUUUGUGAUGUUUCUUUGGUGUUAAAUAAAAGCUAUUUUUUAUGGACAUGUGGACUAUAAACAUUUGUUGUGGAGCAGUACACGUAUUUAAACUUUUAUGUGGACUAUAAACAUUUGCUAUAGUUCACCUUCAAAAACUCUGUAAGUACAGAGAUAUCACCUAGAUGUAAACAUUUGCUAUAGCUCACCUGCAAUAACUUCGUAAGUACAGAGAUAAUAUUUAUAUGGACAUGUGCACUAUAAAAAUUUGCUAUAGUUCACCUUCAAUAACUUUGUAAGUACAGAGAUAUCACCUAGAUGUAAUAUGUAACUAUUUAUUGCAAUCCGAGGAAUGGGUGUGUAUAUUGUAGUCUCUGCAUGCACAGUCGAGAUGUGUUCAGUCCAACCCCAUGGCAUCAGGGAGGUCGAGUUCGUCGCGAGCAGCAGUACAUGGUUGUCAGCUUCAACUUUCUUCCACCUAGGUGCUUUCACUCCUUGCAGCUUAUAUGUUUGUGUAGUUUGAACUUAGGCUGGUCUCCCUCUCGUACUUCAGUUUUUCAGUAUUGGACUAAUCAGUAUGGUGAAGAUGAAGUUCCUUUUUGAACUUCUCCGGUUAAUAUACAUGAACUUGGUCAUCUUUUUCACAUGUACUAACAUCAGCUCAUUCGGGAGUUGUUCGUGUACUUCUGACACAAAUCAUUAUAAAUCUCGAGAGAGGUAAGCUCAAAGAAAAAUAGAGAAGUUCGAAGCCAAAAUGUUUGCAUAUGUUUUGUUGAAUCGAGUUCCUCCCAAAAAAAAAGCACUAAAGGAGGUUAAAAAACAUGGUUGUGUUUGCUUAUGUGGUUUUCCCCUUCAAUUACAGAGAAAAGUGCAACUACGUAUAUGACAACGUUUCAGCUACAAAAGAUACAUCAGUUCAAUGAGAAAAGAACAUCAGCUCAAAAAAUAUAUAAAGGAGGUUGUGAGCCCAAAUAACUGAUUUUUUUGUUGUGUUAAAUUUUUCAGCUGAAAAAAGAGAAGAAUUUCUCUCAUCCUUCUUCUGAGAAGAUUGGGAUGGGAGUCUACGGGGCAGGCAAAGUGUGUUGUUGCUUCUACAAUUUCAAACAUUAAUUUGAGAAAAGUUAUUCCUCGGCUAAGUUUGAAAUAUGUCAUUUUGUGAAGUUUAGCUACUCAGCCAUGAACUACUAAAUGGUGGACUUGCAUUUUGUUUCUUCAGUACAUACAUGAGUUGAAUGUAAUACAUGGAACAUAUGUCAAAUCUCCAAGAUAGAGUUCAUAUUUAUUUUCUUCCAAGUAGCAAAUAUUUCUGUGGAUCAGUACAACUUCUGUACGACCUUUUGUUCACAAAUCUUGUAGUGUUGUUUCUACAUGAAUCUUUUUAGUACUUUUUAAAGCAAGCAUGGUCCAUUUGUAAAAGCAAGCGUUUUUAGUACUUUUUAAAGCAAGCGUUUUUGGUGGCCAAGUGUUAUUGAUUUGUGAGAGCUAAAC
rnacentral:rRNA from 1 species